AAAGGUAGCAUAAUCAGUUGGCUUAUAAUUGAAGUCUUGUAUGAAAGAAUAUACGGGUGGCGACUGUCUUAAAUAUAAGUUAUUAAUUUAAUUAACAAGUGCAAAUGCUUGUGAAUAGAAAAAAGACGAGAAGACCCUAGAAACUUUAUAGAUUUUUGCUGGGGCGGCAGAAUUACAAGAAUAACUAAUUUUCUUUAACACGACGAUGAUAUAAAAGACUAAGUUACUCUAGGGAUAACAGCAUAAUUUUUAAUAGUUUGUGACCUCGAUGUUGGACUAGGUGCAAAAAUUUUUAGAAGACAUUUUUGUUCGCUCUGUUCGAGCAAUUAACCUACAU
rnacentral:rRNA from 1 species